UACGAAGGGGGCUAGCGUUGUUCGGAUUUACUGGGCGUAAAGCGCACGUAGGCGGAUUGAUCAGUUAGGGGUGAAAUCCCGAGGCUCAACCUCGGAACUGCCUUUAAUACUGUCAGUCUAGAGACCGGAAGAGGUGAGUGGAACUCCUAGUGUAGAGGUGGAAUUCGUAGAUAUUAGGAAGAACACCAGUGGCGAAGGCGGCUCACUGGUCCGGUACUGACGCUGAGGUGCGAAAGCGUGGGGAGCGAACAGGAUUAGAAACCCGAGUAGUCC
rnacentral:rRNA from 1 species